rnacentral:rRNA from 1 species
CCUACGGGUGGCAGCAGUGGGGAAUAUUGGACAAUGGGGGGAACCCUGAUCCAGCCAUGCCGCGUGUGUGAAGAAGGCCCUCGGGUUGUAAAGCACUUUCAGUGAGGAAGAACGCCUGGUGGUUAAUACCCAUCAGGAAAGACAUCACUCACAGAAGAAGCACCGGCUAACUCCGUGCCAGCAGCCGCGGUAAUACGGAGGGUGCGAGCGAUAAUCGGAAUUACUGGGCGUAAAGCGCGCGUAGGUGGCUUGAUAAGCCGGUUGUGAAAGCCCCGGGCUCAACCUGGGAACGGCAUCCGGAACUGUCAAGCUAGAGUGCAGGAGAGGAAGGUAGAAUUCCCGGUGUAGCGGUGAAAUGCGUAGAGAUCGGGAGGAAUACCAGUGGCGAAGGCGGCCUUCUGGACUGACACUGACACUGAGGUGCGAAAGCGUGGGUAGCAAACAGGAUUAGAUACCCCUGUAGUC